GAAUGCAAGGAACCAGGAAGGUGCUGGAACCACACUUGGGGAAGAAGUGGAGCAAGUAAAUAGUUUUCUAUCCAGAUGUGCCCUGACCACAAAAUAUAUGACCAAGUCAGUAAGAACUGAUAUGCUUACGGUCCAUGCAAUUGGGUGGAAUCAGCGUAAAGAGAAUGGACUGCACAUUGCCUUGUCUUCUAGAUUUAAAAAGACAGUGCAAAAGACCUUGACUGCAACAGAGAAUCUGAAGAUGAUGCAGAAUCAUUUCCAUUGUAGUGAUGACACAGUAAAACAGUGGGUUAUUGAUGUCAAGCA